CAUGAAAGUUGUAGAUCUCGUCGUUAGCUUUCCAACAAUUAUUGGUGCGUCUCAAUUGGACAAUCGGAACUCAAGUUAUGAUCGUUUCCGUAAGAGGCGGUUUCGCAGAAAUCGUGCUUGUUUCGCGCUCGAGUGUCGGAAUAGCAUGAGGUUGAUUUCAUUAGUCUUCUUUUAUGGAUGAGGUUGUUCCUGCGACUUUAGAGAUCCAUUUUUCGAGUUGUUCUAGUUUUCGAGAAAACGGGCAAUAUUUUACCCGCUGUCGUAAAAUUUUACGGUUUCGGAAUUCAGUAAAAUUUUAGAUAGAAGGUUUAUAUAUCUGCGCGAGUUAGGAUAUGUCCUGAGAUUAAUUUUCGAGAGCGUAGAAGAAAAUUACAGUCGCGGAAAAAAGAUUCGGCGAUAAGUUUUGGAAAUAUUUUGAGACGGACGUUCGUUCCGUAAGUUUUCGGUUUUUACGAAUUUUGCUCGUCGCGGCGCGCGAAGGUUGUGGGGUGUGUUAGAAAUAUCUAGAUAUUUGUGUAAGGGAAUUGGAGGGCUAGGAUUGGCCAAGGGAAAGUGCUUUUGAUCAAGUGGUCAUGGUGGAGCAAGACCACUUGUCAUAGGUUUUGUUUGGUAGACUUUUGGGACUUAGAAAAAAAUUGUGAAACCUCUCCUUCUCUUCUCUCACAAACCGUCCUUCUCUCCCUCUCACACAAAGCUUCAUUGAUUUUUCAUUUCUCACCCAUUCAAGCUAGGAAUUGUCUUGUUGUAUCAAGGAACUUGCAAGGAUAUCACUACUCAUAAGGGCGCACGAAUUGUUGCAUAACUCGGAAUCGUUUGUAAUUGGAAGCUUCGCCGAGACGAUGGAGCGCCAUCUGAGACCGUAGGUCGUGUGGACGGCGAGGACUUCGUGGA